rnacentral:misc_RNA from 1 species
GGAGGGAUCAUAUUAUGGAUAAUUUUAUGACGAAAGGAGGAGAGAGGGUGUGGGUAUGGGUAUGGGUAUGGGUAUGGGUAUGGGUGUGUGUGUGUGUGUGUGUGUAUAUAUAUAUAUAUACAUAUACUAUAUACAUACACAUACACAUACACAUACACAUAUACAUAUACACACACCCUAAUCCUCCUUUGGAAAUAUAAUUUUAGAUGUGCACUUGUAUUGAAAGUCAGAGAUAUAUAUUUGCUAUAUAAUUUAUAGCAAAUAUAAUCUUUUUAAACCUAAACUGUUUAUAACCAAAUCUAGUUUUAAUAUAUAAUUAUAAAAAAAACAACUUUUAACAACGGAUCUCUAGGCUCUUGCAUCGAUGAAGAACGCAGCGAAUUGCGAAAUGUAAUGUUGUUUGCAUAACGUCCAACAUCAAGUUUUUGAACGCACCUUGCACUUUUGUUUUACAAGAGUAUGCCUGUUUGAGAGGAUAAACAUCCCAUCCAAUCCUAGAUAUUUUAUAUAUAAAAGGAUUGGGAAGUUGAGUAAUCUUGCAAGUAUAUUUUUUAAUAUGAGCGAGUUACUUUAAUAUUAGUUGGGUAUAUAUAUUUAUUUAGAAAAAUGGAAAAUUUCCAUAUAUUACUUUAUAGUCCAGUAAUGGGAUCUAGUAAUGUUUUUAUAUAUAUAUAUAACCAAAUGCAAGGAAAAGUAUAUAUAAAAGAUAUAUUCCUCAAAUCAGGUAAGACUACCCGCUGAAUUUAAGCAUAUCAAUAAGCGGAGGAAAAGAAACUAACAAGGAUUCCUUUAGUAACGGCGAGUGAAGUAGGAAUAGCUCAAUCUUUAAUCAUCUGUCACUUUGGCAGCAUGAAUUGUAGUUUAUAGAUUUUAGUCUGAUUUUAAAUAUGUGGACACACAAAUACCUGGAAUGGUAUAUCAGAGAGGGUAACAAUCCCGUCUGGGUCAAUAUUUUCAAUCAUAAUGACAAUUUUCUUAGAGUCGAGUUGUUUGGGAAUGCAGCUCUAAAUGGGUGGUAAACUUCAUCCAAAGCUAAAUAUUGGCAAGAGACCGAUAGCGAACAAGUACCGUGAGGGAGAGAUGAAAAGAACUUUGAAGAAAGAGUUAAAAGUGCGUGAAAUUGUUAAAAGGGAAACGUUCAGUGUGUGGAUUAUGUCAAGGAGAGUUUUUUGAGUUAGAAAUUAGGAUUAGUGAUUUAGGUGAAACUAAAUGACUAUACUGAAUUAUAACGUAGCCAAAGACUCGGGAGUAAAUUUGUUCUUGACUACCAACACAUAUUGACCGACCCGUCUUGAAACACGGACCAAGGAGUCUAACAUAUAUGCGAGUGUUUGGGUGACAAACCCAUUAACGCGAAAUGAAAGUGACCCAAGUGGGAAACUCUUUUUAAAUGAAGGGAAGCACCACUGGCCGAUCAUUGGUUUUAUACCUAAUAGAUUUGAGCAAGAGCAUAUAUGCUAGGACCCGAAAGAUGGUGAACUAUGCCUGAGCAGGGCGAAGCCAGAGGAAACUCUGGUGGAGGCUCGUAGGGGUUCUGACGUGCAAAUCGAUCUUCAGACUUGGGUAUAGGGGCGAAAGACUAAUCGAACCAUCUAGUAGCUGGUUCCUGC